CAUUAAUGAAAAGGGUGUGAAGUAAUGUUAGGAAGGGUAUUUCAAUAAAUUUGAAUUUUUUUUUUUGGACAAGAACUAUCCCUACACAUUACCAAACAAGGUAAUUGGCAUAUUUUACCAAUUCUCAAACAUUAAUUCCCAAUCCCAUUCCCACUCUUAAUUCCCUUAAUUCCCAUUCCUACAUACCAAACGCCCUAUAAUUGUGUCAUUAUUCAUGUCGAUGAACAAGAACUAUCCCUACACAUUACCAAACAAGGUAAUUGGCAUAUUUUACCUAUUCUCAACCAUUAAUUCCCAAUCCCAUUCCCACUCUUAAUUCCCUUAAUUCCCAUUCCACAUACCAAACGCCCUAUAACUGUGUCAUUAUUCAUGUCGAUGAGUUCAAUUUUAUAACAAUUGUUAUUGAUGUUGCUAUUGAACAAAAUUGAACUUUAAUCUAUUUUUUUUUCAGUUCAUCUGCUCUUUUAUUUGGUUUUUUUUUUCAGUUCAUUUGCUCUUUUAUUUGGUUCGUGUAAGGUCUAACCGUAUUAAGACUAAACUUAAAUAGUUCGAGUUUGGUCGGUACGAUGAAGAAGACAUUGGCCUACGACACUCCCCUAGUCCCCUGCAUACAAAGACAAUGGAGAAUAACCUUCCAUUAUAAAGCAGAUCAAUACAAACAUAAUUUCCCUUCAAUUCAAUUCAACAUUACAAAAUUACAAUUACCCAAUUAUUAGAAUCCCUCAAAUCAAAAUUUACUCUUUAUACGAAGAACAUGUCUCGACCCAGAAAAGCUUCUCUGCAGGUUUUUCUAUCCUACAUUCUGCUACUCUAAUAUCUGAAUUGCAGGGAAAAAAACAGUUUUGAGAAGUUGCAGAAAGUUAUAAAUGGAGGGGACUUUUAUGGAGCUCAGCAGAUGUACAAGUCUACUAGGGCUAGGAAAAUCUACGAGGCAUUUCUUCGAAAUGCUGUACCAGAUCAUGUUGGAGAUGAUGAUGACAUGCAAAAGCUUUCUGAAGUUCUGGGAACAGUUAAAAUACGUGUGGAGGCAUGUGCUUCUAUUCUGAGGGCUGCUAUUAGGUGGUCUAUUGAACUUGGACCUGACAAAAAUGGUUCCUGGGACCUACAUACUAUGCUUGCAGAGUACAUAUAUUCCGAGACACCUGAGGUGGCAAGUUGACACUGAACUGGCUGCAAUAAUGGACAUGGCCAAAGUAUCAUUCCAAUUUGUUCGUGGGAAUUGUCCAAAUAAAUAUGCUGAUACACUCAUAAAUUUCAUGGAGAAGAUUUAUGUGAAAUAAUAUGCGAUGUAACACAAAAGUUCCUCAGUCAAACGUACAUCAAAGCACCUUUAUUGUAACAAAGCAUGUAAACUAAAAUGCAUGGAAGAGCCUC